AUGAAAUUCUAUUAUACCAAAGGGACUCGGUAAAGGCGAAGGCAGCCCUCUAUGUAAAAACUGACGUUGAAGGACGAAGGCACAGAGCACAAACAGGAUUAGAUACCCAAGUAGUCUUUGCAGUAAAUGAUGAAUGUCAUAGGUUAGAUUAAGCUUUAAUUAAUUAGUUUAUCAGUAAUGAACUAACUAUUAAACAAUAUUUAGUCUAUAAAUGAAAGUGUAAGCAUUCCACCUCAAGAGUAAUGUGGCAACGCAGGAACUGAAAUCACUAGACCGUUUCUGACACCAGUAGUGAAGUAUGUUGUUUAAUUCGAUGAUCCACGAAAAACCUUACCACAAUUUGAAUAUUUUACAGGAGUUGCACGGCUGUUUUCAGUUAAUGUUGUGAAACUGUGGUUUCCAUGAAAUUAACGCAAUCCCUGGCUUUAUUUUUUUUUAUUACGAUAAAGCAUUUGAUCCAGGAUUUGGAAAGAAAAAGGGGACAAAGACAAGUCAUCAUGGCCUUGAUAUUGUGGGCUAUAGACGUGCCACAUAUUCCUACACAAAGAGAUGCAAAAAUGUGAAUUUAAGCUAAUCUCUAAAAAUAGGAUAUAAAUUUUAAGGAUUAUAGUCUGAAACUCGACUAUAUGAAUAAGUAAUUACUAGUAAUCGUGAAUCACCAUGUCACGGUGAAUUUACCUUGGAUUGGUACUAACCACUCGUCACAUGCUGAAAAGAGCAUGCGCAAUAAGUUUGCUUUCUUGAUGAUCAGUAAAAAGAAUAAGCAGGUUCUAUAUUCUAUUAUUAAG
rnacentral:rRNA from 1 species